AAAAUGUCCCGAAUAGGUGCUGCAUCGCCCCCACCGCUUCGCCUCAAUUGGCACCAGCGCAGGCCACCCCGCCGCUCGACCUCGACUCGCACCAGAGGCGACCACCACCAUCCUCGCUGCUCCCUACCCUCCCCCAGCCCGAUAUGGAUGCCUAACCCGCGGGAACGGGCAGGCGGACGGCGGGCGAUGUGAGGCGCGGUGGCGGCACGAGGAAGAUGGGCAGAUCCGGGCACGGCGUUGACCGAUCUGGCGGCUGGUGCGCGGCUUGUUCCGGUCCCAACGACAUCCUGCUCAUCCAUAGAAGGAGAGAGAAGGGCCCGAGGGAGAGAGGAAACAGAUGAAGAAAGGAGAAGGGGCAUACGCAGGGUGAGGGAGGAAGUCGCCGGCGGUGGCGGCUCCGGUGACUGGCCGACGGGCUUGCUAGGCAAGGCUAAGGAGUACGCUAGCCUGAGAUUCGAUAGAGCAUGAAUUGAAUGAAUUUUGCACCACGGGGAAGAAGUUGUGGUGGCGGCGAAUUAUGUAGCCAUUGUCUCUCACGACUGCCGGCCCCUGCUCGCGACAUCUCUACUGAAGCCGCCUCUGCCUACUCUGGUGUGUUGCAGCUCCUUACUCUAGCCACAUGUCGCUUGCUCUCCCGCUAGCCUCUGCCUGCUCUGGUCUCGAAGUUGAUGACACCCUGAUGCAAAGCUUCCACAAUCAUCCGCUCCGUCUCAGCAAAAAACAUGUCCAGCUGCAGAAAAGGAGUUUGUAUCCAGCUUGACCUCCAUAGCAGGAAGAUUUUUGUAAUCGUUCUAUCAAUGUUCUAUUAAUGGACAGAGGAGGAGAGCAAUGGAAAUAACACCCCGUCGCGGUCCUGGUGCUUCUCUCCGUGGGUUCGCUUGCUCACCUCGGCGUUUGCGGCUUCUACAGGUACGUACUAGACAACUACCCAUUGUUUUUGUUUUCUAUUGACAGUUUGAUCGCUUCAUCAAUCCUUCUAGAGGGUCUUGACAGGAAGGACUGAGCAGCCAUUGUGCUGGAGUAGACUGUGUGACAGGUUUUUUCCUCUCUCUCCUACCCGUGAUUGGUUUCUUUGGUGAAGAAAGCAUCACUGUCUUUCAAUACAUCAUGGAUGCUCAACCUGUAUGUCUACAUGGUACAAGAAUGAAGAUUAACCAUUCAAUCUAUUGAUUCAGAGUGAGACAAGGGUGAAACAGAAUAAGCUCAUUUUUGUGAUGAGUUCCCUAGGCCCCAGAAGGCCAGAACUAGCAUUUUAAUUACAAAAUUCAGUUUUUGAUCACGUUAUUUCAGUUUCAUUAUAGACCUUAUAAUAUUUUUUAUGGAUUAAUAUAAGGUUUAUAAUAUUUUGUGGAGCAAUCAGUUGUGCAUAGAAAAGAGCUCACCUAAAUUAAUGACAUGUUCAUCUUAUCUUCGAUUAAAAAUUUUUGCCCCCUAAUAUUCAGUUCUACUGAGAGUUGUAGAAGGCAAAAAUCCAGCAAAUUAACUCAAGUAAGUGUUUUUGUUAUUUCCCAAUGUAAUUAAAAAUUUUCUUCUCAAAAUACGACAUGGUCAUUGUCGGAAAAGAAUAUUUAGCAUGAAUGUAGGUGCUUUCAUAUGAAGCUGGACAUGUUUACAAUGAUCGACCGGAUACCGUUACACGUGUCCUGAAUAUGAAGUUUAAUGAUUUCUGAGAAGAUGUUAAAAGUGGACAUUUGUUUCGUACAAUUCAAGCAUUUUAUACAUGAUGGAGUUCCAGAAUAGAGGCUUGCCUCAUACUCAUACUUCAAUUCGGCUUAUAUGGAACAAUCAUGAGCCUUCGGCCUCCUUCAUAGAUGGUUUGAUUUCGGCUGAGAUACCUGAUCGUUUGGUUGAGCCCUGGGUUAUGCUCUUAUGGAUUAAUUUAUGGUUCACGGUCCAUGUGGAGACUACAAAGUAAAGUGUGCAUGUAUGAAAGAUGGAUUGUGUUCCAAAAGAUUUCCCAAAGAUUUUAAUGAGCAGACGUCGGUUGAUGAUAGAGGCUUUCCUAUAUAUCAUAGACGUGAUUUGGGUUACUAUGUGAGGAACAAGGGUACUGCUAAGCUGGAUAAUCGAUGGGUAGUUUUCAUAUAAUAGUUUUGGUAAUGUAAUUAUUAAUGUAUUUUUCUUCUUGCGAAGCGUACUGGCAUAUGUUUGCUUUCAAUA